AGUGAACGCUGGCGGUAGGCCUAACACAUGCAAGUCGAACGGCAGCACAGUAAGAGCUUGCUCUUACGGGUGGCGAGUGGCGGACGGGUGAGGAAUACAUCGGAAUCUACUUUUUCGUGGGGGAUAACGUAGGGAAACUUACGCUAAUACCGCAUACGACCUACGGGUGAAAGCAGGGGAUCUUUGGACCUUGCGCGAUUGAAUGAGCCGAUGUCGGAUUAGCUAGUUGGCGGGGUAAAGGCCCACCAAGGCGACGAUCCGUAGCUGGUCUGAGAGGAUGAUAAGCCACACUGGAACUGAGACACGGUCCAGACUCCUACGGGAGGCAGCAGUGGGGAAUAUUGGACAAUGGGCGCAAGCCUGAUCCAGCCAUACCGCGUGGGUGAAGAAGGCCUUCGGGUUGUAAAGACCUUUUGUUGGGAAAGAAAAGCAGCAGGUUAAUACCCCGCUGUUCUGACGGUACCCAAAGAAUAAGCACCGGCUAACUUCGUG
rnacentral:rRNA from 1 species